rnacentral:rRNA from 1 species
AACGUAGGAGGCGAGCGUUAUCCGGAGUUACUGGGCGUAAAGAGCGUGUAGGCGGGUAUGCAAGUUUGGCGUGAAAGCUCCCGGCUAAACUGGGAGAGUGCGCUGAAGACUGCGUAUCUAGAGGCGAGUAGAGGGAAGUGGAAUUUCCGGUGUAGCGGUGAAAUGCGUAGAUAUCGGAAGGAACAUCAGUGGCGAAAGCGACUUCCUGGACCAAUACUGACGCUCAUGUGCGAAAGCGUGGGGAGCAAACAGG